UGAUGAUGAUGACGACGACAGUGUUCCACCUACACAAAAAAUGGCACGUAUUCCAAGCAGACCCACACAUUAUGAAGACACACCAACAUCCAAGUCUUGCAUUGCAAGCCCACCUAUAUUCAAACCAAGAACCGAGUUAUUCAGUGACAAAGGUAAACAAACAGAGGAUUGUAGAUUCACGGGUACCUCACAGACUGAGAAUGAAGAGGAUGUACAUGUUCAAG